AUCAAUCCCAUUGAAGCCCAAAGAAUAAUAAUAAUAUCUUUGAGAAGGGGAGACAAAGGCACUAAAAAUUGCUAUAAAAAUAAAAGUAACAAUAAUAAUAGAGACAAAAAUGGAUGCAUUUGGCCAUCCCAGGGAAAUUUGCCAUUACAAAGUGGAGUUUGUCACCGCAAAUGAUGGUGAAAUAUUUCUCUGCAAACACUUCAUUGUAGCAGCUAGAUUCUUAAAAUUGCAUGCUAUAUGAAACAAAACUGAAUAAACAGAAUUUUUUUUUUGUCCUUUUUUGGGUGUAGAGGGAUAUCCAACUGCAUCCUGAAUUCAUUCACUUCGGUUGCUAGAAUUGUAGGUUGUAUGAAGUUGUACUUUUAUAGGUAUUGAGUUUGUAUUCUUUCUCUGUUCUCUUCCCACCACAGCUUUGCAUGCACUUCCCCAAACUUUUCCCGGCUGUUAAAAAGAAAAGAAAAUGAAAUGCAGGAGCUCGUUAGCAUUCAUAAUGUGGAACAGUUUCCUUUAAUCUAGUUUUGAAGUUAAAAAUUUCAAAAUCAUAUUUUAAUACUUGUUUAUGACUUACUAAAGCUUAAAAUUAUGCAUCUUUCUUCUGUUAAACUAUGAACAAAUUGGUUUUCUUUUACCUGAAUCUGACACGUCGAAGCUCCCUAGUCCCAUCAGCUAGUUGUCUGAUAGUAAUGUACACCCCAGGCUCAUCUUCUUCAACCCAUUCUGACUCUAGUUCACUAGCAUUACUAACAGAAACAGAAGGCUCAUCUCUUGAUGAUGUGGUCGUACGUGAUGCUUCCAUAGAAGAUCCUUCAAAUUUUGGGCCGCCUGUACCAUAACCACUUGAACCAGCAUGGUAAUGUUGGGUGCCAACUUGUUCCAUAACAUCAGAUGGGAAAUACCCUCUACUUCCGGAUGGUUUAUAGUGACUUCUGGGUGUAAAAGAUGGAGCCAUGGGGCUUUCCCUUGCAGAUCCAAUCCUUGUGUAAGAAGAAUCUCUCUGCUCAUCCUCGGACCUUGGAGGAGUAUGAAGAGCUUGACGAUUAAAUCUCUGAACAUUGUAGAGCUCCAUGAUUCUGUCAAAGUUCUCACCCCACCAUCGCUGAGCUUGCCACUUGUUAAACAUCUCUCGACUGAAGCGAAUACGCUUUAGAUCAUUUCCCCCAUUAGGAAGAGACACAAAAGUAAUAUGAACUCCUGGCUCCACCUGUGCCAUCCACUCCUUGGGUUCAUCCUCAUCUUCUAGCACCACAUCACAAGACUGUGCUGAGAUAGACUCUGCUCUCCCAGGGGUCUGAUCACCACUAAACACUCCAGUAAAUCUUGAGUCAGCUCUUGUGCCUCGAUGGUGACCAGCACUCGUAAAAUCCCAUGCUGGUGUUGAGCUUGAGCUUCCACCUCCGAAAUAGGGGUAUGGAGCCCCUUCAGAAGCCAUAUCAAAGUCAGGAUACGGUCGCUGUCCUUUCUUGAAACUGCUGGAGCCUGUGCAGGGCUUGCAUUGCCGACCAGAAAAUUUCAAUGCCAUAUCCUUGAUCUGCGCCGUCAGGCUUUUGACGGCUUCUUUUGUACUUGGCGUUCCACUUCCACGCGCUCCGUCUUCUCCGUCUUCUGCCACUGGUUUUGUGCACGCUAUGCACGUAAACAUCUUUUGCUUUUUUCACUUUUCUACCCCGUAUGCAACAACGCCCAAAAAAACACCUCCUGUGUUCUCUUGCAGUUCCUGUUUCCCUUGUUUACCUACUCUUCAUAAAAUCUCUUCUGAUAUUCUUUCUCUUUCUCUGUUUUCCUUCAGCUUCUAAGAAUCAGCUUGAUUAUUCUUUCCUUUCUUACUGAUUGAAGCACCACAAAUAAAAAUUUACUCUAAAUCUUCAUCUAAUCAAAUUUCUCUUCAAAUGCCACACAAAAAUCAUGAUCAGCAGAAUCCCAUUAACUUCGCCAAUUACUAUCUAGAACAGGGGAAGAAGAACAGAAAAGAAAAGAUAAGAAAAGAAAUCUCGGCCGAGACAAAAGGCGGGCGAUGAAUCGGCGAAAUGUUUGAAAACGGAAUGUUUCGGAUUUGGAGGUCCCAGGCUUGACGUUUGC
rnacentral:misc_RNA from 1 species